CAAGGUGUAUGAUCUAUUACACUGCAAUAUGUAUUUAACCAUAAUCUUCUUUAUUUGUGCAGAUUAUAGGAUGUUUUAAACUUUACAUCAAGGAACAAGAGAUGACUCAGUGAUCAAGAGUGCUCCAACUCUGACUCCAGGAGCUUCUGUGUCCUCUUCAGGCUUCUUCUACAGUUUCUGCUGUGUGAAUUUGCUGAAGUUGUAUGGUGGACAGUAACUGUAGGG
rnacentral:lncRNA from 1 species